GCAGAAGAAUCAAGAGAAGAAUGGCCCUAGGUUUUCCAAUAAAAUUACAUAAAAUGGAACCCACUGCCACUCCACUAAGGCCAGACUCUCCUGAGAGAGGACCGAAUCAUCCGUAGAUUUUAGAUAAAAACAGGUGCGCAGCAGGUGUUGAGGUUGCGUGUGAUGGUUUUUGUAUGAAGAGUGUGAACACGAUUGAAAGAACCGAACCACGGGCCCAUAUUUUUAGACUAAAACCGGAUCUCCAAAUGGAACAAGUUGACAGGGACCAGCCAAUCUGACCCAUAUGGAUCUGGUAUAAUUGGCCCAUUCUAAUGCCGUUGAGUAACAAAACAAACAACAAUUCCAUCAUCAAUGGGCGGGGCUACGUGUCGUCAUGUUGUGUUGUUUUAUGAAUUCGCAUCCGUCCCCCAUAGACUUGACCCCAAAAACGUCCCACGGACUCCCAACACGCGAAUGCCGCUAUCUCGUGCGGAGAUAAUGGGACGGCCAUUAACUCGUCCCGUUAGCUCCCGUUACUCCCAAAAUAGGUCAUCUCUCAAUCCUCUCUCUCGAAUCUCAGCCUCACUCGAAUCCUCGACAUAGAGUGUGCUCUCUGAAAUCUGUCGGAGCUUGCCCCCUUUUGAGAUCUCUAGGUCGACGCCCAUGAUUGUUCCAGCAACUUUAUUUAUCGAAGAAAAAACGUAGAAGGUGCAUGCUGUGGAUACAGGUACGGUUUCAAACUCUAUUUUUUCUUUUAGUACAGAACCCACUCCCCUGUUCUGUUCUAUGUUGGCCGAGCAUACAACGUUAGGGUUUUAUGUUCAUAUUGAAUUUUUUUCAGCUCGAAUUUUAGUUGUUACGUUAUAUCACAAUACAUUUUUAAUACCUAAAACCUGGAAUGCAUUAUGUGCUAUUUGAAUUUCAUCUAAGGGUUUAUUUGCUAUUUGAAUUGCAUCGUCGGUUCACUUACUAUUUGGUGUUUUAUUUAAUCCACCAACAAAGAAGAUAUUAAAUUUGGAAUGGAGGGCACACCAAACCCCAUGUGAAGGUUGGUGUUUGAACUUGACGGAGAUGAGGGUGAAUCAUCCAAACUUUCAUCUAGCAUGCGUGAAAUGGAGGGUACCAACAUGGUCAAUGAUUUUGAUGAAGUAAAACUUUCACUUAAGAGAAGUGAAUGAGAUGCCUACAUGUGAGGAAAGUAGGGGCAUUGGUGCAAAUAUUUCAAAUAUAUUGAAGGAAAAGCUAAGUGUUAUUCCUCGAGAGUGUAUCCCGGUUGGCAUGAUAUUUGAAACAGUAGAGGAAGCAUAUGAGUUCUAUAAUAGAUAUGCUGGGAAGGUGGGGUUUAGUACUCAAAAAGAAAAUAAAGUGGUUGCCAAACAGACUAACCAAAUAAGAUACUGCAAGUUUUGUUGCUCUAGAGAAGGAAAGAUUAGUGCAAAUAGACAUAGGGUUACUGUAAAGACUCGUCGACCAAUUACAAGAUGUGGUUGUAUGGCAACUAUGAAGAUAAGUAGUAUGAAGGAUGGUUAUUGUGUCACUGGCUUUGAUGGGAUGCAUAAUCAUAUGGUUGCAACUCCUUCCAAGUCACAUAUGUUGAGGUCACAACGAAAGGUUAAUGAGGUGCAAGGUAAUCAAGCUAUAAUGGCAGAUGAUGCAGGAAUUGCUAGUAGUAAUGGAGUUGAUGGCCAAUGAGGCUGAUGGGCCCGCAUGAAAAUGUUGGGCUUACCUCUAUGGAUUUGAUGAAUUACUUGUAUACAUACCGAACUAGGAAUAUGGAAAGGGGGGGAGGUAGGUGGUGUUUUGAAAUAUUUUGAAGAUAGGUAGUCACAAGAUCCAUCAUUUGUUUAUGCAAUACAACUUGACCAAGUUGAAUUGGUUACGAAUUUAUUUUGGGCAAAUGCACAAAUGAUUGUAAGUUAUGCUCAUUUUGGUGAUGUAAUAUGUUUUGACACAACAUAUAAACCAAUAAUUUUUGGUGUUGCAUUGUUGUA